rnacentral:misc_RNA from 1 species
GUCCUCAGCGCCCCCUCUCCAUCCAUGGAGUCGCCUGCCCCUCUGCUCGGUCUCCAUGGCACUCGGCGCCUGAGCUCCUCCAGGGUGCGCGGCCUUCCUCAGCGCCUCUGCUCCCUCCGUCAAUGGUGCUUGUGCCCCUACUCCAUCGACGCGCCGAUCGACGCCAUGGCGGGCUCCAUCUCCAGCACCGCCCGCCGUCUGCCCAGGACCGACUCACCUUCAGUCACGCGCUCACCUCCCCUACGUGCGCUGCUCUUCCCUCCGCGCGCGAGCCUCCUCAACUCUGGCGCGCUCUCCUCCAUCCAUGGUGCGUCCCUGCUUCGCCCCUUCUCCAGCAUGUGCUCAGCGCCUCCCAGUCGCACCACGGAGCAAACCUGG